rnacentral:rRNA from 1 species
CCCUUAGAUGUUCUGGGCCGCACGCGCGCUACACUGACAGAGCCAGCGAGUUUUUUUCCUUGGCCGGAAGGUCUGGGUAAUCUUGUGAAACUCUGUCGUGCUGGGGAUAGAGCAUUGCAAUUAUUGCUCUUCAACGAGGAAUUCCUAGUAAGCGUGAGUCAUCAGCUCGCGUUGAUUACGUCCCUGCCCUUUGUACACACCGCCCGUCGCUACUACCGAUUGAAUGGCUUAGUGAGGUCUUGGGAUUGGCUUCGGGGAGCCGGCAACGGCACCCUGUCGCUGAGAACUUGAUCAAACUUGGUCAUUUAGAGGAAGUAGAAGUCGUAACA